AACGAACGCUGGCGGCGUGCCUAACACAUGCAAGUCGAACGGUGUCUUCGGACAUAGUGGCGCACGGGUGCGUAACACGUAUGCAACCUACCUUACAUUGGGGGAUAGCCUUUCGAAAGGGAGAUUAAUACCGCAUAAGACAGUAGCUGGGCAUCCAGCAGCUGUUAAAGAUUUAUCGAUGUAAGCUGGGCAUGCGUCCAAUUAGCUAGUUGGUGAGGUAACGGCUCACCAAGGCAAUGAUUGGUAGGGGAACUGAGAGGUCAAUCCCCCACACUGGCACUGAGAUACGGGCCAGACUCCUACGGGAGGCAGCAGUAGGGAAUAUUGGGCAAUGGACGCAAGUCUGACCCAGCCAUGCCGCGUGCAGGAUGAAGGCGUUAUGCGUUGUAAACUGCUUUUAUACAGGAAGAAACGACUCUUGCGAGAGGCAUUGACGGUACUGUAUGAAUAAGCACCGGCUAACUCCGUGCCAGCAGCCGCCGUAACAC
rnacentral:rRNA from 1 species